AAAGGGUAGUGACAGCAAUUAACAACUUGGCUUUUCUGGGCAUCUUUUAUUUGACAAGAUCAACACUUUUCAACAGGCUAAAAGCCUUCUCCUGUCCAAGAAAAGGUUUCAUUUGAUCUGACAAAUAUCCUGGAUAAACUGGUAGAACAGGAUUAUUUUCAUCAUGAGGAUAAGGUAUCUUUACAAAGUCCCUCCAUAAGUACCAUCUUGUCUUCUCACUGGUGUCUCCGGCCUGCUGGUGCUGGCAGGA